rnacentral:rRNA from 1 species
ACGGCCAUACCACGUGAAAACCCCGGUUCUCGUCCGAUCACCGAAGUUAAGCAACGUCGGGCCCGGUCAGUACUUGGGAGGGUGACCACCUGGGAACACCGGGUGCUGUAGGCU